rnacentral:rRNA from 1 species
AUUGAACGCUGGCGGCAGGCUUAACACAUGCAAGUCGAGCGGAGCGGCGGACGGGAGAGUAAUGCCUAGGAAUCUGCCUGGUAGUGGGGGAUGACGUCCGGAAACGGGCGCUAAUACCGCAUACUAUCAGAUGAGCCUAGGUCGUAUUCGCUAGUUGGGGGGGUAAAGGCCUACCAAGGCGGGGAUCGGUAACUGGUCUGAGAGGAUGAUCAGUCAACUUGGAACGUGGACACGGUCCAGACUCCUACGGGAGGCAGCAGUGGGGAAUAUUGGACAAUGGGGGAAAGCCGGAUCCAGCCAUGCCGCGUGUGUGAAGAAGGUCUUCGGAUGGUAAAGCACUUUAAGUUGGGAGGCGUUACCAACAGAAUAAGCACCGGCUAACUUCGUGCCAGCAGCCGCGGUAAUAC